rnacentral:lncRNA from 1 species
UCUUUGUCUAUAGCUCAGUCUUUUAAUUUGAAUAAUCGGCCCGGAGGCCGCAAGCGGUUGGGCCGAAGAAUAAUGAAUGGUUGUAAUAAGUAGAGUCCCUUUAUCCUGAGAGUUAAGACAAUGUGAAUCCAUUUUUGAUUGUUACCGUAUUUUAGGCCACCACGGUGUCACAAACGGGAAUAAAGAUUACAUUUUUACCAAUCGCAAAGAUUAUAAUCUGAAAUGGACCGAGGAAUUACGGUUCGACGAGGAACAAACAAAACGAGAGCAGGAACGGAGAAAGGAAUUUGAGAAUGAGCCAAUCAAAGAUUAUACGAAAACCGUUCAAUUUGUGUAAUCUUUAUUCCCGUUUGUGACUCCAUGGGGAGGGCUUGUCUAAACUCUCAGUAUAAAGGGACUCUAAUGGUAAGGGGCUGGAAAAAGUGAGGAAUGGACUGGUGCUUUUGCAGGUUGGACAUGGCGCGUCGGCUGAGCAAGGACUUCUUCCGCUCGAAGAGCUCCGGGAACCUGACGGUGCGGCGACUGAGCUCGGACAUGGGAGUGGCGAGCGUGGGGCGGGCGGGGGCGGGAGGCUGUUGGAGUGCCAGACCUCGGCGGUCGGGCGGCGGCUGAGCCACGGCUACGAGGAGAACUCCCCGCCGGACCUCAACUCCCGGCGCUCCAGCCAGCGGAUCGGCGAGUCCUCGGCCAACGUCAGCCCCCAAGGCUCCACCACCCUCCCGGAGGCCCCGCCCCCGCCCCCCGAGCCCGAGGCCCCGCGCAGCCCCAACCUCCUCUCGCCCGGCUUCUACUUCGGAUCCAAGCUCCCGCCGGAACCCCCCAGGUCCCCUCGUGAGGUGGGUCCGGUAGCGGCGAGGCGCUUCACCUACGACGUGAGCUCCCCGAACUUCACGAAGAAGUUCCCGACGAAAGCGGCGAGCGACGCGGAGACCCCCAAAGUUGUGAUUAACUGUGAUAGUAGCGAUAAAGUAAGGAGCCGCCCGGAGGCGGAGCGCGGGCUGCUCCAGGAGGGAGGCGAGGGCGAGACGAGCCUGGACCGGAACAACUGGUCCAACGUCUCGGACAAGUCGACGGAGCACAUGAUCAAGAUCUUCAUCCCGGCGGCGGCGGCGGCGACCAGGACGGAGCAGGAGAUCCCGGAGGAGGGCCAGAGGUCGCCGCCGGCGGAGGAGUCGACCAAGCCCAAGAUCGUGUCCUACGUCCCGAAGAGGGUGACGCGGAGCACCGAGACGGAGGCCGGCGGCUCUUUGGAGCGGCUCUCCAAGGAGGAGCUCGUGGCGCUCUGCCAGCUCUCCGAGUCGGAGCUCAAGAGCAAGCUCUACAAGGCGCUCAAGAGCAAGGGCCCGACCUGA